UACGGAGGGUGCGAGCGUUGUCCGGAAUCAUUGGGCGUAAAGGGCGCGUAGGUGGCCACUUCAAGCGUGCGGUGAAAGUCGGGGGCUCAACCCCUGAUCGGCCGUGCGAACUGGGGGGCUGGAGCACUGUAGAGGCAGGCGGAAUUCCGGGUGUAGCGGUGGAAUGCGUAGAGAUCCGGAAGAACACCGGUGGCGAAGGCGGUCUGCUGGGCAGUAGCUGACACUGAGGCGCGACAGCGUGGGGAGCAAACAGG
rnacentral:rRNA from 1 species